AAAGAAAUGCUGUUUUUAUUUAAAUGUCUCAUAAUAAGGGAAGCAAAGGAAUAAAAAAACAAGAGUCCCUUAACUACAAGUGAUGAAUGUGUGCUUACAUCUAUUCUCCAUCCAUCUUUUCUCAGCAUUUGACUGAAUUAGCAGCAGCUAGCUGGCAUAAGCUCAUCUCCCAAUGGCUAACCAGGGCCUGGGUGACAGUUCCAAACAGCCCCCAUCUCUUGUCCGAUAACACAUCUUCUCUCUCCACCCUGUUGAAGAUGUUUCUACUUGGAAUCAGUUGCCAUGCCGCAAGGAAGCCCAAUCAAACUUGUGUGGAGGCCCACAAGGAGAGUAACUGAGGCCACAAUCCAACAACUGGUACCAACCACUGGACAUGUGAGUAAAAAAGCCUUCAGAUGAUUGACUCUAGCCUCCAGCCUGUAAGUGUUCCAGCUGAGACCCCAGACAUCAUGAAGCAGAGUAAGUUAUCCCUUUACUGCCCUUUCUUAAUUCCCAAUCCACGGAAUCUACAAGAAAGCAGAGACAUAGUAUGGAAACU
rnacentral:lncRNA from 1 species